UCCGGUUUGUCACCGGCAGUCCCAUUAGAGUGCUCAACUGAAUGUAGCAACUAAUGGCAAGGGUUGCGCUCGUUGCGGGACUUAACCCAACAUCUCACGACACGAGCUGACGACAGCCAUGCAGCACCUGUGUUCCUCCCACCCGAAGUGAAGGAUUCCGUCUCUGGAAUCCAUAGAGGACAUGUCAAGGGCUGGUGAGGUUCUUCGCGUUGCUUCGAAUUGAACCACAUGCUCCACCGCUUGUGCGGGCCCUCGUCAAUUCCUUUGAGUUUUAGCCUUGCGGCCGUACUUCCCAGGCGGCAUACUUAUCGCGUUAGCUUCGACGCACAGGGGGUCGAUACCCCAUACGUCUAGUAUGCAUCGUUUACGGCGUGGACUAC
rnacentral:misc_RNA from 1 species